GAGCAUAACAGUCGUUCACACCUUCAAACUUUCUGAGUUCUGGAGGACAUAAUCUACAGCUAAAAGUCUGUUGUGAGACACUCUGUGAACUGCGCGUCCAGGCCAAGGGAAGAUGAGCCGACACCAUCUGCCGAUCUAAUGCAUGUAAAACACAAAGACAAAAGGAUGUUUAACACAUGAAAUCCACCCAAAUUCAUCUGGAGAAAUAAUUCCUAUUGCCUGAAGAAUCGAUAGAGAGCAGGUUGUUAAUUGAUGAAAUGUGCCUCUGUAGAAGCCAUGUGUCUGAUUUCCACCCAAUUCCAGUUGAAGAACUGCACUACCCAUAAUCCUCGAGCAAGACCACCAAUCAGAGAAGUCACUGUUACCAUGGAAAUGACAAUCAAGAUCACAACAGCUUACUUGUUUCAUAUGGAAACGGAUGGAUGCCUUAUUGGAGAAGAUGGAGAGAAAGACAGCAGCUCGGUUCCAAAACCUUGAGCGCUGCUUCACUGCCCGCUGCCUUCUAAGGGAGCAUCCUAACUGACAUGGAGCCUAAUAAGUGAAUGAUUUAGAACACUACACUGGCACAUAAAUGG